UUGGUUGUAGCUGGCAUUUCCUUUAUUUGGGGAUUGCAUGUGCACACCUUCUCUUUCAUCCACACACCCCUGUGCACUUGUGAGACAGAUUGCUUUUUGGAGGGGGAACUUUAUUGGACCCUUUCUUUUUGGCUCUCUGUCUACUUAAUUAAUAUAAACUCAAUUUAUUUUAAAAUGAGUGUAGUGGAUGUAACACAUCUAAUACUAAGUUUCAACAACGGAUCUCUUGGCUCUCGCAUCGAUGAAAAACGCAGCGAAAUGCGAUAAGUAGUGUGAAUUGCAAAAUUCAGUGAAUCAUCAAAUCUUUGAACGCACCUUGCGCUCCUUGGUAUUCCUUGGAGCAUGCCUGUUUGAGUAUCAUGAAAUCUUCAAAGUAAUAUCUUUUGUUAAUUCAAUUGGUUUUGCUUUGGUAUUGGAGGUCUAUUGCAGCUUCACACGUGCUCCUCUUUGUUCAUUAGCUGGAUCUCAGUGUUAUGCUUGGUUCCACUCAGCGUGAUAAGUUAUCUAUCGCUGAAGACACUUUUUCUACUCUGUAAAAAGAGUUUGGGAGGGGUGGCCAAGGUAAAUGCAGAUGAACCGCUUCUAAUAGUCCAUUGACUUGAACAAUCAAUAUUUAUGAUCUGAUCUCAAAUCAGGUAGGACUACCCGCUGAACUUA
rnacentral:rRNA from 1 species